rnacentral:rRNA from 1 species
UACGAAGGGGGCUAGCGUUGUUCGGAAUUACUGGGCGUAAAGCGCACGUAGGCGGAUGAUUAAGUCAGGGGUGAAAUCCCGAGGCUCAACCUCGGAACUGCCCUUGAUACUGGCCAUCUCGAGUCCGGAAGAGGUUAGUGGAAUUCCCAGUGUAGAGGUGAAAUUCGUAGAUAUUGGGAAGAACACCAGUGGCGAAGGCGGCUAACUGGUCCGGUACUGACGCUGAGGUGCGAAAGCGUGGGGAGCAAACAGG